rnacentral:tRNA from 1 species
GACUUGGUAGCUUAGUUGGUAAAGCACUCGUCUAGCUUACAAGAAUCUUAGGUUCGAAUCCUACCUGAGCA